rnacentral:rRNA from 1 species
GUUAAAAAGCUCGUAGUCGGAUUUUUGUGGCACGUCGAACUGUCUGCCGAUUGGUUUGUACGGUUUGAUGUCCAUAUUCCUUCCAGAGGUCUCGGGAGCCCUUCAUUGAGUUGCCGUUGAAAUCUGGGUCUUUUACUUUGAAAAAAUUAGAGUGUUCAAAGCAAGCCUAUGCUCGAAUAGCUUAGCAUGGAAUAAUAGAAUAGGACUUCGGUCUUAUUUUGUUGGUUUCUAGGACUGAAGUAAUGAUUAACAGGGACAGUUGGGGGCAUUCAUAUUCCAUUGUCAGAGGUGAAAUUCUUGGAUUAACGGAAGAUGAACUUCUGCGAAAGCAUCUGCCAAGGAUGUUUUCAUUGAUCAAGAACGAAAGUUAGGGGAUCGAAGACGAUCAGAUACCGUCGUAGUCUUAACCAUAAACUAUGCCAACUAGAGAUAGGGCGUCGUUCUUUUUAUGACUCGCUCUGCACCUUAUGAGAAAUCAAAGUUUUUGGGUUCCGGGGGGAGUAUGGUCGCAAGGCUGAAACUUAAAGGAAUUGACGGAAGGGCACCAC